UUCUACGGGGGGCAGCAGUGGGGAAUAUUGCACAAUGGGCGAAAGCCUGAUGCAGCGACGCCGCGUGAGGGAUGACGGCCUUCGGGUUGUAAACCUCUUUCAGCAGGGACGAAGCGCAAGUGACGGUACCUGCAGAAGAAGCACCGGCCAACUACGUGCCAGCAGCCGCGGUAAUA
rnacentral:rRNA from 1 species